AAAUUGAAGAGUUUGAUCAUGGCUCAGAUUGAACGCUGGCGGCAGGCCUAACACAUGCAAGUCGAGCGGUAACACAGAGAGCUUGCUCUCGGGUGACGAGCGGCGGACGGGUGAGUAAUGUCUGGGAAACUGCCUGAUGGAGGGGGAUAACUACUGGAAACGGUAGCUAAUACCGUAUAACGUCGCAAGACCAAAGUGGGGGACCUUCGGGCCUCAUGCCAUCAGAUGUGCCCAGAUGGGAUUAGCUAGUAGGUGGGGUAACGGCUCACCUAGGCGACGAUCCCUAGCUGGUCUGAGAGGAUGACCAGCCACACUGGAACUGAGACACGGUCCAGACUCCUACGGGAGGCAGCAGUGGGGAAUAUUGCACAAUGGGCGCAAGCCUGAUGCAGCCAUGCCGCGUGUGUGAAGAAGGCCUUCGGGUUGUAAAGCACUUUCAGCGGGGAGGAAGGCGAUAAGGUUAAUAACCUUGUCGAUUGACGUUACCCGCAGAAGAAGCACCGGCUAACUCCGUGCCAGCAGCCGCGGUAAUACGGAGGGUGCAAGCGUUAAUCGGAAUUACUGGGCGUAAAGCGCACGCAGGCGGUCUGUCAAGUCGGAUGUGAAAUCCCCGGGCUCAACCUGGGAACUGCAUUCGAAACUGGCAGGCUAGAGUCUUGUAGAGGGGGGUAGAAUUCCAGGUGUAGCGGUGAAAUGCGUAGAGAUCUGGAGGAAUACCGGUGGCGAAGGCGGCCCCCUGGACAAAGACUGACGCUCAGGUGCGAAAGCGUGGGGAGCAAACAGGAUUAGAUACCCUGGUAGUCCACGCCGUAAACGAUGUCGAUUUGGAGGUUGUGCCCUUGAGGCGUGGCUUCCGGAGCUAACGCGUUAAAUCGACCGCCUGGGGAGUACGGCCGCAAGGUUAAAACUCAAAUGAAUUGACGGGGGCCCGCACAAGCGGUGGAGCAUGUGGUUUAAUUCGAUGCAACGCGAAGAACCUUACCUGGUCUUGACAUCCACAGAACUUAGCAGAGAUGCUUUGGUGCCUUCGGGAACUGUGAGACAGGUGCUGCAUGGCUGUCGUCAGCUCGUGUUGUGAAAUGUUGGGUUAAGUCCCGCAACGAGCGCAACCCUUAUCCUUUGUUGCCAGCGGUUAGGCCGGGAACUCAAAGGAGACUGCCAGUGAUAAACUGGAGGAAGGUGGGGAUGACGUCAAGUCAUCAUGGCCCUUACGACCAGGGCUACACACGUGCUACAAUGGCAUAUACAAAGAGAAGCGACCUCGCGAGAGCAAGCGGACCUCAUAAAGUAUGUCGUAGUCCGGAUUGGAGUCUGCAACUCGACUCCAUGAAGUCGGAAUCGCUAGUAAUCGUAGAUCAGAAUGCUACGGUGAAUACGUUCCCGGGCCUUGUACACACCGCCCGUCACACCAUGGGAGUGGGUUGCAAAAGAAGUAGGUAGCUUAACCUUCGGGAGGGCGCUUACCACUUUGUGAUUCAUGACUGGGGUGAAGUCGUAACAAGGUAACCGUAGGGGAACCUGCGGUUGGAUCACCUCCUUA
rnacentral:rRNA from 1 species